rnacentral:rRNA from 1 species
GACGAACGCUGGCGGCGUGCCUAAUACAUGCAAGUCGGACGCUGAAGGAGGAGCUUGCUUCUCUGGAUGAGUUGCGAACGGGUGAGUAACGCGUAGGUAACCUGCCUGGUAGCGGGGGAUAACUAUUGGAAACGAUAGCUAAUACCGCAUAAUAGUAGAUGUUGCAUGACAUUUGCUUAAAAGGUGCAAUUGCAUCACUACCAGAUGGACCUGCGUUGUAUUAGCUAGUUGGUGGGGUAACGGCUCACCAAGGCGACGAUACAGAGCCGACCUGAGAGGGUGAUCGGCCACACUGGGACUGAGACACGGCCCAGACUCCUACGGGAGGCAGCAGUAGGGAAUCUGCGGCAAUGGACGGAAGUCUGACAGAGCAACGCCGCGUGAGUGAAGAAGGUUUUCGGAGCGUAAAGCUCUGUUGUAAGAGAAGAACGAGUGUGAGAGUGGAAAGUUCACACUGUGACGGUAUCUUACCAGAAAGGGACGGCUAACUACGU